UAGCUCAGUGGUAGAGCACUUGCCUAGUAUGCAUGAAGCCUUGGGUUUUAUCCCCAG
rnacentral:tRNA from 1 species